UGUGCUCUAAUUAACUUGCUGUGAUGUCGCUCUGGUGAUGGACACAGAAAUAGACAUUUGCUUUCCUAAAUCCUGAAGUAGAAAAUGAGGCAUGAGUCAGGAGGAUACAGGAGGGCAGAACUCAUUUUCUUUUAAUUACUUUUAUUCAGGUUAUAUCAUCCAGCAGCUGUUCAAGUUUCAUUUCGAGAUGUUGGAUCCUCCUGAAAACCCAGCAUGUCAUUUUUGAUGGGACUUACUCUCUUCUCCUUUACACAUUAUAUAAGAUUUUAUAUCUAAGUGCUGAUAGGGAGCGCAGACACGGUGAACAGUGCUCCCAUUCACUGUUGAAGGAUGUAAUUGGCCAUCACGUCUCUGACAGUAAAAUAGAGGAGGCAGAAGCUCUGCAAAAAAUGUGGCCAAACAAUAUGAGAGUUCUCAUUAGUAAGCAAAUAGGCAGGGAAGUGUCUAGCUGUUCCUCCAGCUGGCAUACGCAGGUACCAAGGCCUGCUUUGGGGAGAAGCAGGGCGCUUCAUCGCUGCACGGCAAGGUUUGGAUGGUUGUGAAGGCUUUGCCACAACCUCUGCUUGGCACCAGAGCUUCAGGGAGCUUUGCUCUCUGUGGCUCUAGAUGGAGCUGGCAAAAUUAAAGCUGUAACCAGGUGGAUGUUACUCCCCAGUGUCUCUCUCUGCUUUUCAGUCUGCAAGGCAGGUUUGGCUGAGGGCAGAGGAGGGCCCUCCCCAGGCACGGUCCUGCUGAACACUGGCCAGGCCUCUGGCUGCUGUCACCAGUGUCUGAUUCAAGUCCUCAGUCCCACUGCCUCCACUCCUCUCCUCUGAAAUCAGAAUAACAUGACUCUGUUUUCCAGCAGCAUAUGGAAAUAAAGACAUAAUGCCUUCUGAGCCCCCACGUGCACUCUGCAGCUAUCACUGGGUCUGUAUCUGCACCGUGAGUGUGUAACUGCUGCUGAAGGCAGCCAGUGCCCUGGAGAAGCAACAAACUUGUAGACAAGAUGUGGAUGGUGACUGAACUGCUGCUGUAAACUUGUACCCAGGACUGUCAGAAUGGAGGAAGCAUUCAGUGAUGGAGAUGAACAAGCAGCAUUCACAAGGUUUCUCUCCUUCCCUAAGAGGUAUUACCCUGCAUUGUUAGGGACUGAGAGAUUCUACUUUAAGGCUUCAAGUUGCUGCAAUCAUUCAUUGAGGCAACAGUACAAAGCUGCCAAUUUGAAAACAAGGCUUUGCUCAGUAGCAGAAGAAAAUGAAAAAU